rnacentral:rRNA from 1 species
UACGUAGGGCGCAAGCGUUGUCCGGAAUUAUUGGGUCGUAAAGAGCUCGUAGGCGGUCUGUUGCGUCUGCCGUGAAAACCCGAGGCUUAACCUCGGGCCUGCGGUGGAUACGGGCGGACUAGAGGUAGGUAGGGGAGAAUGGAAUUCCCGGUGUAGCGGUGAAAUGCGCAGAUAUCGGGAGGAACACCGGUGGCGAAGGCAGGUCUCUGGGCCACUACUGACGCUGAGAAGCGAAAGCAUGGGGAGCGAACGAGG